rnacentral:snRNA from 12 species
CACGCUUCUCCGCCUUAUGGCUAAGAUCAAAGUGUAGUAUAUGUUCUUAUAUACAUACCAUCUGAUUGAACCUACAUCGAAGGACAACAUAUGUUAAACUGAUUUUUGGAAACAGGCGGAGUGUUUAGGAUCUUUCUCCACCUCUGUAGAGGGUUGGCUCAUUAUUGCUAUGUUGUUUAGAAACAAA